GCCGACGUAGGAGAGUCGGGCCUGGCUGUAAACCAGGUGCUCUGCUGAGGGAGUUCGAAUCUCCCCGUCCGCA
rnacentral:tRNA from 1 species